GACGAACGCUGGCGGCGUGCUUAACACAUGCAAGUCGAGCGGUAAGGCCCUUUCGGGGGUACGACGAGCGGCGAACGGGUGAGUAACACGUGGGUGACCUGCCCUCAGCUCUGGGAGUAAGCCUGGGAAACCGGGUCUAAUACUGGAUAUGACUCCAUGACGCAUGUUGUGGGGUGGAAAGCCUUGUGCGGCUGAGGAUGGGCCCGCGCCUAUCAGCUUGUUGGUGGGGUGAGGCCUACCAA
rnacentral:rRNA from 1 species